rnacentral:tRNA from 1 species
GCGGGAUUAGUUGAUUGGUUCAACGCGAGCUUCCCAAGCUUGAAAAACGGGUUCGAUUCCCGUAUCCCGCU